rnacentral:rRNA from 1 species
AACGGCCGUACCGUGCUGAAUAUACCGGUUCUCGUUAGAUCACCGAAGUCAAGCAUCAUUGGGCGCGGUCAGUACUUGGGUGGGUGACCACCUGGGAACACCACGUGCCGUU